rnacentral:rRNA from 1 species
UACGGGGGGGGGUAAGCGUUGUUCGGAAUUACUGGGCGUAAAGGGCUCGUAGGCGGCUACUUAAGUCGGAUGUGAAAGCCCUUGGCUCAACUGAGGAAGUGCACCCGAAACUGAGUGGCUUGAGUACUAAAGAGGGUCGCGGAAUUCCCGGUGUAGAGGUGAAAUUCGUAGAUAUCGGGAGGAACACCGGUGGCGAAGGCGGCGACCUGGGUCAGAUACUGACGCUGAGGCGCGAAAGCGUGGGGAGCAAACAGG